rnacentral:rRNA from 1 species
GAACCCGCACAAGCGGUGGAACAUGUGGUUUAAUUCGAUGUAACACGAAAAACCUUACCAAAAUUUGAUAUUACAAAUAAAAUAUAUUCAUAUUAUUAUUUAGAUAACAGGUAGUGCAUGGCUGUCGUCAGCUUGUGUCGUGAGAUGUUGGGUUAAGUCCUGUAACAAGCGCAACCCUUAUUUUUGUUACUAUUAAAAUAUAAAAUUAAUAGAAUCUAAAAAGACUGCCAUUUAAAAUUGGAGGAAGGAAAGGAUGACGUCAAGUCCUUAUGCUCUUUAUAUUUUGGGCUACACACAUGUUACAAUAAAUAAGACAAUUAGAUCACAACUUUGUAAAAAGAAGUUAAUCAAUAAACUUAUUUUUAGUACAGAUUAUAGGCUGCAACUCGUCUAUAUGAAGGUGGAAUCGCUAGUAAUCGCUGGUU